rnacentral:rRNA from 1 species
UGGGGAAUAUUGGACAAUGGGCGAAAGCCUGAUCCAGCCAUGCCGCGUGUGUGAAGAAGGUCUUCGGAUUGUAAAGCACUUUAAGUUGGGAGGAAGGGCAGUUACCUAAUACGUAUCUGUUUUGACGUUACCGACAGAAUAAGCACCGGCUAACUCUGUGCCAGCAGCCGCGGUAAUACAGAGGGUGCAAGCGUUAAUCGGAAUUACUGGGCGUAAAGCGCGCGUAGGUGGUUUGUUAAGUUGGAUGUGAAAUCCCCGGGCUCAACCUGGGAACUGCAUUCAAAACUGACUGACUAGAGUAUGGUAGAGGGUGGUGGAAUUUCCUGUGUAGCGGUGAAAUGCGUAGAUAUAGGAAGGAACACCAGUGGCGAAGGCGACCACCUGGACUGAUACUGACACUGAGGUGCGAAAGCGUGGGGAGCAAACAGGAUUAGAUACCCCGGUAGUCCCUGAGCGGGCUGGCAAGGCGCAU